rnacentral:rRNA from 1 species
GAGUUUGAUCAUGGCUCAGAACGAACGCUGGCAGCAUGCCUAACACAUGCAAGUCGAACGGCAGCGCGGGGGCAACCCUGGCGGCGAGUGGCGGACGGGUGAGGAAUGCAUCGGAAUCUGCCCGGUUGUGGGGGAUAACUCACCGAAAGGUGAGCUAAUACCGCAUAAGACCGAGAGGUGAAAGCGGGGGACCGAAAGGCCUCGUGCGAUCGGAUGAGCCGAUGCCGGGUUAGCUAGUUGGUAGGGUAAAGGCCUACCAAGGCGACGAUCAGUAGCUGGUCUGAGAGGAUGAUCAGCCACAUUGGGACUGAGACACGGCCCAAACUCCUACGGGAGGCAGCAGUGGGGAAUCUUGCGCAAUGGGCGAAAGCCUGACGCAGCCAUGCCGCGUGAAUGAUGAAGGUCUUAGGAUUGUAAAAUUCUUUCACCGGGGACGAUAAUGACGGUACCCGGAGAAGAAGCCCCGGCUAACUUCGUGCCAGCCGCCGCAGU